rnacentral:tRNA from 1 species
UAUUUUUAUGCUAUAUAAGUCUCUAUAGUGUAAACUAACACAUUACAAUUUCAAAGUAAAAAUAU